AUUGCCUCAUUUGACAAGGAUCUGGAGACAGCAGCUCGCUUUGGAUCCCAGAGAUGAUUCCAGAUGGAAAGAAGGAAGGAAAGGAGGGAAGAAGAACACAUUUAUAGAAACCAUGGAUUAUUUUUAAGUGCCUUAAAAUAUGGAUUCUGCAUCAGCAGUUGUGGGAAGAGGCAGGACUCUGUAUUUCUAACAAGACCACAGGUGAUGCUGACACUCAUGGUCCUCAGACCACACUGAAUGAUGAGGCCUUUCAACUCAGAAUCCAGACUUAAGACCAAAUAAGGAUCUUAUGGCUGAAAAGCUUCCAGGUACACUUCUCUGAGUAACCAGUACACUGGGGAAAAAGUGGAAACCAGGACUGUUCCAGGCAAGCCUAGCUGUUGGGGACCCUCCCAUACCAUGCGGCUGGCCAGCCUCUUCUGCAUACAGCGCCCACCCCUAAUGAGAUCCUGGAAGAGCGUUGCCUGCUUGCCUUGUACACCCUCCUCAGUACUCAGGCAACCACGUUUCCUAGAGAUUAUCUCAAGAAAACCUCGAGGGACUUGUCAUCAGGUCUCAUGUCCAGGUGCAGAUCCCCUAGUUAUGGCCCUGAACAGAUACAUCCUCCUGCAAACAGGCUUUUGACGUGUACUAAGGAAGCUUUGGCAAUUUAUAUCACCCCCAGUAGUAUGGAUAUUAAAGGAUGUUAAUAUAUCAUUUAAUGUUAAUGUUGUCAGAAGCAGAAGGUGGAGCCAGCAAGCAAUUCAGCAGACAAGGGAAAUCAGCACCAUGAGCUCGCAUCCACAGCUGUUGCUGUCCCUGUGUCCUUGGGAAGAGCUACCUGAUGGAAGAAGGUCUCAUUUGAGUUUCUGCCCUGUUUUCUUCAUUUCAUCAAGUGUAGCUCUCCAUCUAUGAAAGCCAGCAACCCUCAGCUUGGCCACGCUGUGGGCACAAAGUCACACCAGCUGUAAAACCCACCUCUCACUGAAAAAAAAGCCCCUGGUGCUCAAACAGGAAGUCCAGUCUCUGCAGCUGCCUUAGAAGACUUUGUUCUGGGAGCCCCGUCUUCCCCAGAGGCAUCUGGCAAGAGUUCGCAAACCCCCCUGCCAGAAGCAUCACUGUGGGUAUCUGCUCUUUGCGCUUCCCACUGCUCUUCUGGGGAACUCUGCUUAAAAGCCACCCACGGAAGCUUCGCAGUUUUUCCUGUUGCCAAUGCUAACCAAGAAAAAUCGAGUCUAAGCAGGGGCUGCCUGCCGAAGCCGCCUAGGCUGUUGCUUGUCCAGGGGCCAGCGUGGAGCCAGGUUCCAUGCAGAAGUGGGGAGAAAGGCUGUUUCCUCCGCCCUCUGCGCUGCUCUCCCAGGGGAAGCAGGGACUCUGGCUCACCAAUUCUGCAAGAAGCCACUUUAACUCUCAGUCUGCUCUGGCCAGCUUCCCCGCUUCAUGGUGCGGAUGCAGUGGCAGCCCGUCGAGUUCAUUCGCUACAGGAAAGGGGAUGGUAAAUGGACUGUUAAGAGGAAGCCGGUCCUGGCAGGGUGCUUUUGAUGGGCAAAAGGACAUGAUGACAGGCGCCGACGAAGCAUUCCUCUCCACCUUGUGGGAAAGAGCACAAGCCUGGAACAGGUGCAGUCACACACACACACACACACACACACACACACACACACACACACACACACACACACACACACACACACUGGAACUUGUAACUGCUUACUCAUCUCAAAUAACUUAAAGCAUGUCAUCACCACUCGAGGCCACAGGAAUGAAUCCUGCCACAGAGUGGAGAUCUGUUUUCUUCCUUAAAGCCCUCAGAGUGUUCUGCUUCAAUUCCCUGCAUGGGAUGUAGAUAUAUUAAAUACCAAAAAAAAUGACCAUAAAGUGAACAUUAUGGUUGAGAAAUGAGGUCCAAGGAUGCCAAGAAAUUCAAAACUGAGUGUUCCCCCAGCAGCUCUAACUCAGCCAUUUUUGCACUAAUGCGUCCUUUCCCAUUUCGGAAUCCUCGGUGGAACACCCAUUUCAUAUGGACUCUGGAUCCUUCAGUUGAGCCAGGGGAGGAAUGCCUGGAGUCCCUCUGUUCCUUCUCACUUCCUCAGGUCGUGGGAAAAACCCCCUCUCAGACCCUUCCACGGAGCCCUUGAACGGGGCCAGGCAUGGCACAGCAUGCUCUAGAGCCUGGAGCGGGGGCAGGGAGGGGGCAGCCUAGCCCCAGGAAGCUGGACCAGUUCCCUUCCCCAGCCGCUCCCUGAGAGCCAAGAGGCUAGUCCUGGCUCCACACAGCAACUGUAUCCAUGCUGAUAUGCGGGAUGCAUUAGUGGUUCCACACAACUGAUGUGCUCAGGCACCUCCAGGGUACAUUAGUGGAAGAGGCUUCAGCAGCUGGUGGCUCCUCUUCAGGCAUAAUUUAUCUAUUGCACUUUACUUAAUGUGCAAAAUUAAAUUUAUGCUGAAUCCAUGUGUAUUACCUACUGUGCAUGAGCAGCAUGAAAUAUACCAUAAAGCAAAUCAGCACAGAGCCAUGCUCUUAAUUGCUAAUGGCUUUCAACACACUUCAUUGUGGUCUAACCAAACUUGGACUCUGCUCUACACUAAGAAUCCUGCUCGUAUCAAGGUUGAAAAUGCUUCUCCCAGAGAACUUCUGGAGAACCGAAGGACCAAACAGAAAUGCUUUUGAGCCAGUCUUUCUAGAGCCUGUGUCUUUUAGAGCACAGAUUCUGUGCUUUGCACUAAUGUGAUCGAUACAGUUGCUACAUAGGACAUGAUUUUGCUGAAAAUGAACAAAUCAAUGUCAACUUUUUAAAAGUGGAAUAUAAGAAAUAACCCCAGGAUUCAGUCCAAGUUCUGCCAAUUUGGGUUUCUGGUUCCAUAUAGUAAAACAUAGGGAUUAGAAUGGUUGAUUUCCACCC
rnacentral:lncRNA from 1 species